UACGUAGGGGGCAAGCGUUGUCCGGAAUCAUUGGGCGUAAAGAGCGUGUAGGCGGCUUGGCAAGUCUCGCGUGAAAUCCUGCGGCUCAACCGCAGGCGGUCGCGGGAAACUGCCUCGCUAGAGUCCGGAAGAGGAGAGUGGAAUUCCUGGUGUAGCGGUGGAAUGCGCAGAUAUCGGGAAGAACACCCGUGGCGAAGGCGGGCUCUCUGGGACGGUACUGACGCUGAGACGGCGAAAAGCGUGGGGAGCGAACAGG
rnacentral:rRNA from 1 species